CGCAUCUGUGCAUGCAGCAUAUCAAUAAGCGGAGGAAAAGAAACUAACAAGGAUUCCCUUAGUAACGGCGAGUGAAGCGGGAAGAGCUCAAAUUUGAAAUCUUCAAGGUUUUACCUUGACGAAUUGUAGUUUAAAGAAGUGUUUUCUGUUGAAGUUUUGGUAAAAGUUCUUUGGAAUAGGACAUCAUAGAGGGUGAGAAUCCCGUAUUUGACCAUUAUUUUCAGCUGUGUGAUACACUUUCAAAGAGUCGGAUUGUUUGGGAAUGCAGUCCAAAAUGGGUGGUAAAUUUCAUCUAAAGCUAAAUAUUGGCGAGAGACCGAUAGCGAACAAGUACCGUGAGGGAAAGAUGAAAAGAACUUUGAAAAGAGAGUUAAACAGUACGUGAAAUUGUCAAAAGGGAAGCGUUUGACACCAGUGUUGUUUUCUCGAAAAUCAAUUAAAAAGAGUUAGAUUUUGUUGUGUAUUGACCUUAACAGCUUGCAUUUCAAUUUUCUUGCUUUUUUUAAUGCACUUUUCGUUUAACAAGUCAACAUCAGUUUCUUUUGUUGUAAAAAGGUCAUUGGAAGGUGGCUUUCUUUUCGGAGAAAGUGUUUAUAGCCUUUGACUCCUGCAAUCGGAGAGACUGAGGUCUGCAGCGUAGAUCCUUCGGGGUUAGAUACAUUUGUGCUAAGUUAUAGCUUUUUAUAGACAACUUGUUGACUAUGAUUAGUCUUGUAGCUUACUCGCUUACGCUAUUUUACCUACGCUUAGGAUGUUGACGCGCGUGUGUGCGUGAGUCUAUACAUGACUCUGCGCAUAUCAAUAAGCGGAGGAAAAGGCUGCGGAACUGAACGACCGUUACCUACGCUUAGGAUGUUGACGCGCGUGUGUGCGUG
rnacentral:rRNA from 1 species